AUUGAACGCUGGCGGCGGGCUUAACACAUGCAAGUCGAGCGGGGUGAUGGUGCUUGCACUAUCACUUAGCGGCGGACGGGUGAGUAAUGCUUAGGAAUCUGCCUAUUAGUGGGGGACAACAUCUCGAAAGGGAUGCUAAUACCGCAUACGUCCUACGGGAGAAAGCAGGGGAUCACUUGUGACCUUGCGCUAAUAGAUGAGCCUAAGUCGGAUUAGCUAGUUGGGGGGGUAAAGGCCUACCAAGGCGACGAUCUGUAGCGGGUCUGAGAGGAUGUUCGGCCACACUGGGACGGAGACACGGCCCAGACUCCUACGGGAGGCAGCAGUGGGGAAUAUUGGACAAUGGGGGGAACCCUGAUCCAGCCAUGCCGCGUGUGUGAAGAAGGCCUUAUGGUUGUAAAGCACUUUAAGCGAGGAGGAGGCUCUUUUGGUUAAUACCCAAGAUGAGUGGACGUUACUCGCAGAAUAAGCACUGGCUAACUCUGUGCCAGCCGCCGCCGUAACAC
rnacentral:rRNA from 1 species